rnacentral:lncRNA from 1 species
CUCAAUCUAUCUAUCUAUCCCCACUUCCUUGACUGCUCAUUAAAACCAAUGUACUUUUGGGCUCACACUUCUUCCUUCUCAUUUUCUCUUCUCAUGGAACCCCACUGUACCACCCAUCCUCCUCAAUUCUAAAGGGGCAGUAGUCAUAACUAAACACUGAAGUUACUUAUUAUUUAUUGAUGAAGGAAGAAAGAAAGAGAGAGAGGGAGAGAGAGACAGAGCAUGGGGAGUGGGGUGGUGAAAGGACAGUAGGAAGGGGGCAAUAAUAAAGUAGUAGUAGUAGUAGUUU